rnacentral:rRNA from 1 species
CGGACGGGUGAGUAACACGUGGAUAACCUACCUAUAAGACUGGGAUAACUUCGGGAAACCGGAGCUAAUACCGGAUAAUAUAUUGAACCGCAUGGUUCAAUAGUGAAAGACGGUUUUGCUGUCACUUAUAGAUGGAUCCGCGCCGCAUUAGCUAGUUGGUAAGGUAACGGCUUACCAAUGCAACGAUGCGUAGCCGACCUGAGAGGGUGAUCGGCCACACUGGAACUGAGACACGGUCCAG